rnacentral:rRNA from 1 species
UGGGGAAUUUUGGACAAUGGGCGCAAGCCUGAUCCAGCCAUUCCGCGUGAGUGAAGAAGGCCUUCGGGUUGUAAAGCUCUUUCGCAAGGGAAGAAAACUUACACAAUAACACUGUGUGAGGCUGACGGUACCUUGAUAAGAAGCACCGGCUAACUACGUGCCAGCAGCCGCGGUAAUACGUAGGGUGCGAGCGUUAAUCGGAAUUACUGGGCGUAAAGCGUGCGCAGGCGGUUUUGUAAGUCAGAUGUGAAAUCCCCGAGCUCAACUUGGGAACUGCGUUUGAAACUACAAGACUAGAAUAUGUCAGAGGGGGGUAGAAUUCCACGUGUAGCAGUGAAAUGCGUAGAGAUGUGGAGGAAUACCAAUGGCGAAGGCAGCCCCCUGGGAUAAUAUUGACGCUCAUGCACGAAAGCGUGGGGAGCAAACAGG